rnacentral:rRNA from 13 species
AGUACCGUGAGGGAAAGGUGAAAAGAACCGUGAAUAACGGAGUGAAAUAGAACCUGAAACCGUGCGCUUACAAGCGGUCAGAGCCCUUUAGUGGGGUGAUGGCGUGCCUUUUGCAUAAUGAGCCUACGAGUUACUCCUCACUGGCGAGGUUAAGGGUUUAGAAGCCCGGAUCCGGAGCGAAAGCGAGUCUUAACAGGGCGCUUAGUCAGUGGGGGUAGACGCGAAACCUUGUGAUCUACCCUUGUCCAGGAUGAAGUUGUGGUAACACACAAUGGAGGUCCGAACCAGUUAACGUUGAAAAGUUUUUGGAUGAGGUGAGGGUAGGGGUGAAAGGCCAAUCAAACUGGGAAAUAGCUCGUACUCCCCGAAAUGUUUUUAGGAACAGCGUGGGGUUUAUUCUAACGGAGGUAGAGCUACCGAUAGGACUAGGGGGAGUCACAUCCUACCAAAUCCUGACGAACUCCGAAUGCCGUUAGAUUUGCCCUGCAGUGAGGGUCAGGGUGCUAAGGUCCUGAUCCGAGAGGGAAAGAACCCAGACCUACAGCUAAGGUCCUG